rnacentral:miRNA from 1 species
UAGCCCGGGCUGCUCUGCUGA